rnacentral:rRNA from 1 species
UACGUAGGUGGCAAGCGUUGUCCGGAUUUACUGGGCGUAAAGAGCGCGCAGGCGGUCGUUCAAGUCGGGUGUGAAAGCCCCCGGCUCAACUGGGGAGGGUCACGCGAUACUGAUCGACUCGAAGGCAGGAGAGGGUAGUGGAAUUCCCGGUGUAGUGGUGAAAUGCGUAGAUAUCGGGAGGAACGCCAGUGGCGAAGGCGACUACCUGGGCUGUUUCUUGACGCUGAGGCGCGAAAGCUAGGGGAGCAAACGGG